rnacentral:scRNA from 1 species
ACCCCGGCAACCUGACGUGCGGCGUUUGGGUC